GUACGCUGGCGGCACGCCUAACACAUGCAAGUCGAACGAAGUAGCAAUACUUAGUGGCAGACGGGUGAGUAACAUGUAGGUAUCUGCCCUUUGGCCUGGAAUAACACGAGGAAACUUGUGCUAAUACCAGAUAAGUCUUUACGGAGAAAGCUUUAUGCACCAUUGGAUGAGCCUGCACUUGAUUAGUUUGUUGGUGGGGUAAUGGCCUACCAAGACUUUGAUCAAUAGCUGAUUUGAGAGGAUGAUCAGCCACAUUGGGACUGAGACACGGCCCAAACUCCUACGGGAGGCAGCAGUGGGGAAUCUUGCACAAUGGAGGAAACUCUGAUGCAGCGAUGCCGCGUGAGUGAAGAAGGCCCUUGGGUUGUAAAGCUC
rnacentral:rRNA from 1 species